rnacentral:rRNA from 1 species
AGUGAACGCUGGCGGUAGGCCUAACACAUGCAAGUCGAACGGCAGCACAGUAAGAGCUUGCUCUUACGGGUGGCGAGUGGCGGACGGGUGAGGAAUACAUCGGAAUCUACUUUUUCGUGGGGGAUAACGUAGGGAAACUUACGCUAAUACCGCAUACGACCUACGGGUGAAAGCAGUGGAUCUUCGGACCUUGCGCGAUUGAAUGAGCCGAUGUCGGAUUAGCUAGUUGGCGGGGUAAAGGCCCACCAAGGCGACGAUCCGUAGCUGGUCUGAGAGGAUGGUCGGCCACACUGGAACUGAGACACGGUCCAGGCUCCUACGGGAGGCAGCAGUGGGGAAUAUUGGACAAUGGGCGCAAGCCUGAUCCAGCCAUACCGCGUGGGUGAAGAAGGCCUUCGGGUUGUAAAGCCCUUUUGUUGGGAAAGAAAAGCAGCAGGUUAAUACCCCGCUGUUCUGACGGUACCCAAAGAAUAAGCACCGGCUAACUUCGUG